rnacentral:rRNA from 1 species
UACGUAGGGGGCAAGCGUUGUCCGGAAUCAUUGGGCGUAAAGAGCGUGUAGGCGGUCCGGUAAGUCGGCUGUGAAAGUCCAGGGCUCAACCCUGGGAUGCCGGUCGAUACUGCCGGACUAGAGUUCGGAAGAGGCGAGUGGAAUUCCCGGUGUAGCGGUGAAAUGCGCAGAUAUCGGGAGGAACACCUAUGGCGAAGGCAGCUCGCUGGGACGUUACUGACGCUGAGACGCGAAAGCGUGGGGAGCGAACAGG